rfam:Schistosoma margrebowiei strain Zambia genome assembly, scaffold: SMRZ_scaffold0002041
AUCCUGCUGACGAGUCUCAAAUAAGACAAAACCUGCGUCCUAGAU